AAGGCUUCUGAGAAGAGUGGAGAACUCAGCAGCCAAAAGGCAAAAGCCUACAUAAAAGAGAUUUUGCACAGUAUUUUCUUCCUUGGAUACAUAAGCUCUCCAUCCAUUUGUCCAUCUGAAAUUUUGGGUGAAAAAAUCGCAUCACGCCUGGAAAAAAUAUAUCCAGAUGUGUUUGAGGGGUACCGAACCAAGCUGCCCCUGAGACCCCCCUACUCAGUUCUUCUUGAUGCGGUUGUUGAAACAAAGGGAGAUGAAAGAGUCCAUGAAAUCCUGCAGGAGCUGCUGAAACUGAAUGAAGCAAUGGCUGUCCCUAAAGAUGACGGCGAAGAAUGUGGAAAUGUUUUCUGUUUUGCAUCAACUGUUGUGAGUUUCUGCUAUUUUGAAGAUGACCAAACCAAAGAAAAAACCAGGAACUACUUUGGUGGCUCCAUUGCAUGCAGACGCCGUCCUAAUCUGAGGAACAUCUUCCUUGAUCUGUCCUGCAUUGAAACAUGGAAUCGUAAGGUGGCCUUGGGUGUGUGUUUGGCUGACGCAGGUGAAAAGUCAAUAUUGCUUCCAAAGACUGUGCGCUCGGCGGCUUUUCACAUGUUGAAUGACAAGAAAGACGAAGAUCGCAAUGGAGAAACACAGGUUAUAACCAUAGAGAGGUCAGGCCCUGCCGAGACAGGGAAUAACAGUGGCCAGACACCAGCCCAGAGAUACACCCCAUGGCCUCCAUGUAAGAGAUGUGUGGACAUUUUCCCAGAUGUAGAAUUCAGCCCUUCAGGGAUGGUAGCAGCUCAUUGGAAGCAUGGAAACUGUGCUGAAUGUGAGGCUAUAAGUAAGCUCCUCAACGGGGAGGACGUCGUUGAUGAACGAGUUAAGAAUUCUGAACGUCCCGAUGAGGAUUUAACUGACGAUUCUGUAAGGGCCCGUCUCAAACCUCUGCUCCAGGAAAAAAUAGAAAGACUGAAGCAUAGUCUGAAAUCUGCCAGGUUCAGCCUCAACGAAGACUUUGUAUUUUACUGUCCAUAGUCCACCCACAGUGAUGCAUUUCAGCUACUUCUAUGGCCUGUUUCCAUGGCCACAAAGACUUUUAUGUUAUUUAGGAAAAAAUGUCCUUUUGCUUCCAUUUUAAUAUUACAGUUACUGG